CCUACGGGGGGCAGCAGUGGGGAAUAUUGGACAAUGGGCGAAAGCCUGAACCAGCCAUGCCGCGUGUGUGAAGAAGGCCUUCGGGUUGUAAAGCACUUUCAGUGGGGAAGAAAGCCUUGGGGCUAAUACCCCCGAGGAAGGACAUCACCCACAGAAGAAGCACCGGCUAACUCCGUGCCAGCAGCCGCGGUAAUACGGAGGGUGCGAGCGUUAAUCGGAAUUACUGGGCGUAAAGCGCGCGUAGGCGGUCUGAUAAGCCGGUUGUGAAAGCCCCGGGCUCAACCUGGGAACGGCAUCCGGAACUGUCAGGCUAGAGUGCAGGAGAGGAAGGUAGAAUUCCCGGUGUAGCGGUGAAAUGCGUAGAGAUCGGGAGGAAUACCAGUGGCGAAGGCGGCCUUCUGGACUGACACUGACGCUGAGGUGCGAAAGCGUGGAUAGCAAACAGGAUUAGAUACCCUAGUAGUC
rnacentral:rRNA from 1 species